rnacentral:rRNA from 1 species
GACGAACGCUGGCGGCGUGCCUAAUACAUGCAAGUCGAACGAACCGCGACUAGGUGCUUGCACUUGGUCAAGGUGAGUGGCGAACGGGUGAGUAACACGUGGGUAACCUACCUCAUAGUGGGGGAUAACAGUCGGAAACGACUGCUAAUACCGCAUAGGACAUAGGAUCACAUGAUCCAGUGAGGAAAGGUGGCGCAAGCUAUCGCUAAGAGAUGGACCCGCGGUGCAUUAGCUAGUUGGUAGGGUAAAGGCCUACCAAGGCGAUGAUGCAUAGCCGACCUGAGAGGGUGAUCGGCCGCAUUGGGACUGAGACACGGCCCAAACUCCUACGGGAGGCAGCAGUGGGGAAUCUUCCGCAAUGGACGCAAGUCUGACGGAGCAACGCCGCGUGAGUGAAGAAGGUCUUCGGAUCGUAAAGCUCUGUUGUUAGAGAAGAACAGCGCAUAGAGUAACUGUUAUGCGUGUGACGGUAUCUAAACAGAAAGCCACGGCUAACUACGUG